AUUGAACGCUGGCGGCAUGCCUUACACAUGCAAGUCGAACGGCAGCACGGACUUCGGUCUGGUGGCGAGUGGCGAACGGGUGAGUAAUAUAUCGGAACAUACCUUGUAGUGGGGGAUAACUAUCCGAAAGGAUAGCUAAUACCGCAUACGAUCUGAGGAUGAAAGCGGGGGACCGUAAGGCCUCGCGCGAUCGGAGCGGCCGAUGUCAGAUUAGGUAGUUGGUGGGGUAAAGGCCCACCAAGCCGACGAUCUGUAGCUGGUCUGAGAGGACGACCAGCCACACUGGGACUGAGACACGGCCCAGACUCCUACGGGAGGCAGCAGUGGGGAAUUUUGGACAAUGGGCGAAAGCCUGAUCCAGCAAUGCCGCGUGCAGGAAGAAGGCCUUCGGGUUGUAAACUGCUCUUGUACGGAGCGAAAAGGUCCUUUCUAAUACAAGGGGCUCAUGACGGUACCGUAAGAAUAAGCACCGGCUAACUACGUGCCAGCAGCCGCGGUAAGAC
rnacentral:rRNA from 1 species